rnacentral:lncRNA from 1 species
UCGAUACGAUAAUCGCACGGUGAAAUAUUGACUUUUUGUUCCAUCCUUAUUUUAAAUGCACAUUUUUAUUAUGAGGUGGAGGUUUUAAAAAAAAUAGGCUCUUGUGGGUUUUGCUGCCUCUUCCUGCACAUAUUGAAUGUAAUCUUUGUAUUUUUGUUCUUCUUCUUUGGUAUUUGUUUUUUUUUUUGUUUUUUUUUUUUUGUCGUUUGUUCUCUUUGAAUUAUGUGCUAUGAAGAAAUAAGAACCAGUUCUCACUCAUGGCUGUUAUUAUGUUAUGAUCACUGCCUUCCUCUCUUAUUUUCAUCCCCCCCUCCCCCCCCCUAGUUUACCAUAAACUCCCUGUGGAAAGGUUCUUUUAUUUCUGGUCAAAGAAGGAUCAUCUACAUCUUUAUAAUUUCAGCACUCGGGGCCUUCUUUCUCAGCGCAGCAUGACUGGCACCCUGGCCAACGUGAGGAAGAUUGUAGGCCACUUUAAACACAUUACGCUGGCCUAUUCAGAUGGACCUAAAAUGAAUAUCAAGCGCCUACAGCAGGACGUGCAGACAACAUGGAACAGUUGCCUCUACAUGCUGCAGAGCCGACUGGAUCAAAAACGGGCUCUUAGUGUUUUUACAGCUGAGCAUACUCUAGCAGCAGCACUGACAGCCCACCAGUGGGAGCUGAUGAAUAAGUCAGCUGAUGUGCCCCACCUUUGA